UACGUAGGGGGCUAGCGUUGUCCGGAAUCAUUGGGCGUAAAGAGCGCGUAGGCGGCCAGAUAAGUCCGGUGUGAAAGUCACAGGCUCAACCUGUGAAUGCCGCUGGAAACUGUCUGGCUAGAGUCCGGAAGGGGCGAGUGGAAUUCCUGGUGUAGCGGUGAAAUGCGCAGAUAUCAGGAGGAACACCCAUAGCGAAGGCAGCUUGCUGGGACGUUACUGACGCUAAGGCGCGAAAGCGUGGGGAGCGAACAGG
rnacentral:rRNA from 1 species